rnacentral:rRNA from 1 species
AACGAACGCUGGCGGCAUGCCUAACACAUGCAGGUCGAACGAGACCUUCGGGUCUAGUGGCGCACGUGUGCGUAACGCGUGGUAACCUGCCCUUAGGUUCGGAAUAACUCCCCGAAGGGGGUGCUAAUACCGGAUAAUGUCUUCGCACCAAAGAUUUAUCGCCGUUGGAUGGGCCCGCGUUGGAUUAGCUAGUUGGUAGGGUAAUAGCCUACCAAGGCGACGAUCCAUAGCUGGUCUGAGAGGAUGAUCAGCCACACUGGGACUGAGACACGGACCAGACUGCUACGGGAGGCAGCAGUGGGGAAUAUUGGAGAAGGGGCGAAAGCCUGAUCCAGCAAUGCCGCGUGAGUGAUGAAGGGCGUAGGGUUGUAAAGCUCUUUUACCCGGGAUGAGAAUGACAGUACCGGGAGAAUAAGCACCGGCUAACUACGUG